GAUGAACGCUGGCGGCGUGCCUAAUACAUGCAAGUCGAGCGAACGGACGAGAAGCUUGCUUUUCUGAUGUUAGCGGCGGACGGGUGAGUAACACGUGGAUAACACACCUAUAAGACUGGGAUAAAUUCGGGAAACCGGAGCUAAUAACGGAUAAUAUUUUGAACAGCAUGGUUCAAAAGUGAAAGACGGUCUUGCUGUCACUUAUAGAUGGAUCCGCGCUGCAUUAGCUAGUUGGUAAGGUAACGGCUUACCAAGGCAACGAUGCAUAGCAGACCUGAGAGGGUGAUCAGCCACACUGGAACUGAGACACGGUCCAGACUCCUACGGGAGGCAGCAGUAGGGAAUCUUCCGCAAUGGGCGAAAGCCUGACGCAGCAACGCCGCGUGAGUGAUGAAGGUCUUCGGAUCGUAAAACUCUGUUAUUAGGGAAGAACAUAUGUGUAAGUAACUGUGCACAUCUUGACGGUACCUAAUCAGAAAGCCACGGCUAACUACGUG
rnacentral:rRNA from 1 species